rnacentral:tRNA from 1 species
GGGCCCGUAGUUCACUUGGGAGAACGUUUGACUGGCAGUCAAAAGGUAGCGAGUUCGAAUCUCGCCGGGUCCACCA